rnacentral:rRNA from 1 species
UGGGGAAUAUUGCACAAUGGGCGCAAGCCUGAUGCAGCCAUGCCGCGUGUAUGAAGAAGGCCUUCGGGUUGUAAAGCACUUUCAGCGGGGAGGAAGGCGGUGAGGUUAAUAACCUCAUCGAUUGACGUUACCCGCAGAAGAAGCACCGGCUAACUCCGUGCCAGCAGCCGCGGUAAUACGGAGGGUGCAAGCGUUAAUCGGAAUUACUGGGCGUAAAGCGCACGCAGGCGGUCUGUCAAGUCGGAUGUGAAAUCCCCGGGCUCAACCUGGGAACUGCAUUCGAAACUGGCAGGCUAGAGUCUUGUAGAGGGGGGUAGAAUUCCAGGUGUAGCGGUGAAAUGCGUAGAGAUCUGGAGGAAUACCGGUGGCGAAGGCGGCCCCCUGGACAAAGACUGACGCUCAGGUGCGAAAGCGUGGGGAGCAAACAGA